AUUGAACGCUGGCGGCAGGCUUAACACAUGCAAGUCGAGCGGAGAUGAGGUGCUUGCACCUUAUCUUAGCGGCGGACGGGUGAGUAAUGCUUAGGAAUCUGCCUAUUAGUGGGGGACAACAUUCCGAAAGGAAUGCUAAUACCGCAUACGUCCUACGGGAGAAAGCAGGGGAUCUUCGGACCUUGCGCUAAUAGAUGAGCCUAAGUCGGAUUAGCUAGUUGGUGGGGUAAAGGCCUACCAAGGCGACGAUCUGUAGCGGGUCUGAGAGGAUGAUCCGCCACACUGGGACUGAGACACGGCCCAGACUCCUACGGGAGGCAGCAGUGGGGAAUAUUGGACAAUGGGGGGAACCCUGAUCCAGCCAUGCCGCGUGUGUGAAGAAGGCCUUAUGGUUGUAAAGCACUUUAAGCGAGGAGGAGGCUACUGAGACUAAUACUCUUGGAUAGUGGACGUUACUCGCAGAAUAAGCACCGGCUAACUCUGUGCCAGCAGCCGCGGUAAUACAGAGGGUGCGAGCGUUAAUCGGAUUUACUGGGCGUAAAGUGUGCGUAGGCGGCUUUUUAAGUCGGAUGUGGAAUCCC
rnacentral:rRNA from 1 species